GUGGAAUUAGCUCAAUAGGUAGAGCACCGGUUUUGGGAACUGGGUGUUGCCGGUUCGAUUCCGGCAUUCCAACA
rnacentral:tRNA from 1 species